rnacentral:rRNA from 1 species
GGAAUCUUCGGCAAUGGACGAAAGUCUGACCGAGCAACGCCGCGUGAGUGAAGAAGGUUUUCGGAUCGUAAAACUCUGUUGGUAGAGAAGAACGUUGGUGAGAGUGGAAAGCUCAUCAAGUGACGGUAACUACCCAGAAAGGGACGGCUAACACGUGCCAG